UGCACGGUGGCUUAGUGGUUAGCACGUUCGCCUCACGUUCGCCUCACGUUCGCCUCACACCUCCAGGGUCCCGGGUUCGAUUCCCGCCAGGGCCG